rnacentral:rRNA from 1 species
CGAGAAAGCCCGCAAGGGUGAGUACAGCGGCGCACGGGUGCGUAACACGUGGGUAAUCUGCCCUGGAGCCCGGAAUAACUCCCCGAAAGGGGUGCUAAUGCCGGAUGAGCCCACGGGGUCCUUGGACCCUGAGGGAAAAGGUGGCCUCUGUAUACAAGCUAUCACUUCAGGAUGAGCCCGCGGCCCAUCAGCUCGUUGGCGGGGUAAUGGCCCACCAAGGCUACGACGGGUAGCUGGUCUGAGAGGACGAUCAGCCACACUGGAACUGAGACACGGUCCAGACUCCUACGGGAGGCAGCAGUGGGGAAUCUUGCGCAAUGGGCAAAAGCCUGACGCAGCAACGCCGCGUGUGUGAUGAAGGUCUUCGGAUCGUAAAGCACUGUCGCGAGGGACG